rnacentral:sRNA from 1 species
UUUUUUUUUUUUUUUUUUUUUUUUUUUUUUUUGGAAGGAUGAAACAUUCCUACAGUCCAAAUACAACCUCUGCUUUGAUUAAAUAAAUAUUUAUCUUUAUUGCACCCAUUGUAUAUUUUUUUAACCUUCGGUUUGUCCGGUUUCUGAUUAUUAUUUUAAAAUUUUCAUUGGCAACAGUUAAUCUUUUUUUUUUUUCCCUUUCAGUCCAAAAUACAGGUCAGUGUAAAGUGUAGCUGACAGAAUGAAGACUGGUAAAUUCUGAAUUUUUCCAUAAUGCAUCAGGUAAGGAAAACUGUUCAGCCCUUCAGAAGUGCGCUUUGCUCCCUAUUUCUCUGUCUUCAAGAAUCUUCAUAAAUCUGUUUGGUUUUUAGAGAUGCAGCAGAACUAAAUUUCUUCUUGGAGAUGUUGAAAAACCAACGACUGGGAUGCCCCUAGCAGGAAGAAGUUUGAACAUGGCCCUCUCUGCCCCAGACUCAAGUCAUACAUCCACUCCUACAGUCCUGAGUGGGUGGACACCCGUGGGGUCUGUUACACGCAGCUUCUUGCUUUGUGCCUACAUUUUUGGUCAAAAAAUUUUCCCUCCCAUCUCACGAAGCCCCCAGAACACUUUUCAUCCAAAAUAUUUUUUAAGCCUGAAAGAUGACCCUAAGCCAAAUUCAGAUUUGUUCCUAAGUCAUUUCACUAGAAAAGAGCAAAAUGUCAAAGUCUUCUGCGUUGGCAUAAAGGUAGCAUGUGGAGUCUUAGUACCCAGGUCUUGUGAGUUCUGGGGGUGCCCAGGGGGUCGGGGGAGGGGGCUGCAGCUGGUGUCCAUAGGGCGGGUGUUAGCCAAGAAUGAGCUUCCCAAAUCCUCCCCCAGGAGGCUGGCCAGUUAGGAAACUGAGAGAAGCAUAGUUCUUUCCGAAAGUUACAAUAAGAAAAAAAUAUUGUGAGGGGUGUGUGUGUGUGUGUGUGUGUGUGUGUGUGUGUGUGUAAAAGACCUGGCUCAGACUGACAGGAAGACCCUGGUCUCUGGAGGAGAGGAGACAAGUGGAAGAUACAGGAAUGAGGAAGUGAUAGAAGUUUAAAACAAGACGAUCUCCCAUUCUCUCCCGGGUCUCCCUCAGAGGUGAAGGCAAAUCACCCUGAUCCAACCUGUGCUUCCAGGGCCAAGGGCCGCCCAGCUGAUCCAAAGGCAGCUAAGGUCUGUCUUUUCCAGUCUGUUUGGCCCUAACCUUGCCAGAGCCUCCAGACCUCGGAGAUCAAACCAAAUUGGCUGCUGGAAUUUAAGAGGUUUCAGCCCUGGAGCAAGGAGGAGGGGACAAUCUCCCCUCCCCCCAACCCCCUUUAACUCCCAAUUCAAGAGACACCACAAGCCACAUUUGAGUGUCAUCCCCAGUCGUGGAUUAUGGGUAUAGCUCAUUCUUUCUUCCUAUUUCUCAGAAGUAAAAACCUUAAAAAAUUAGUCCCAAACUUAGAGUGCCGGAGUCCUUGAAAUAGUUCCUAAUGAUAAAACCUGCCUUCAUUUUCAGUACCUAUCAGAUUGUGAAAAAUGCAGGGGUAACGUUGGAUUCCCCAUUUCCCUCCAUUCCUUUGUAACAAAAAUCUAGGGGGUGGUGGUGGGGAGGCAGGAGGAGUGGAGUCCGUUCGUGGCUCUCCUGGGUUCUGCACCACCACCACACGCUAGAUUCCCUUUUGGUGACCCGGUACCAGAAGUCUGCAUGGAACCAAAACCCGGAGGCGGGCUCGAGGAGGAGACAGAACUAACCUCAUCACAACUCAACAAAGUGAACAACUGCAAGACAGACACCCUUGGUUGGACAACGUGCGCUUUAGGAAUUCCCAAGAGCAUAUAACUUGGGGAAUGAUAGAAGCUUCUUGCCUACCCGCCACAGCCUAAAGAAAAGGAAGCCAUGAGAAGAGCCGGCCGGGAUCUGUUGGAGGUGGGGGGUCUAGGGAGCAGAGCUGUGAGCUCUAUCAGGGGUGGCCUGGGGAGAGGAUGCCCAUGGUGGCACGUGCAUUGUUGACAGGCAAGCAUGUGUUAAUGGAGGGAUGAGUGGCCGAGCAAUCCCCCAAUGCUUGCAUUUCUUGCAGGCAUGGCUUGUUUAAUGAUGAGGGAAUUGAAUGACGCACACACGCGUGCAUGUGCACACACACACACACACACAUCCUUUUUGCCGUGGCUGAGAAAUGUAAAAAGAAACCUAUAUUAUAUAUCUAUAUAUGUUCAGAAAAAAGUAUGCAUUUUUCCUUGAGAAAUAGCCAAUGCCAUAAUAUCUUUGAUUUGAGGGGCGAGGGAAUUUUUGAAGUAAAGGAAAUCAGUGGGGGACGAA